rnacentral:ncRNA from 2 species
UUAUAAGAAUGAUUUAAAAUAUAAUUACGUUUAAAAAGGGAAGAUAGGUGAAAGUCCUGCACGGUCCCGCCGCUGUAAAAGAAGAGCCUAUGCACAAAAACCACUGGGAAACUGGGAAGGUAGCAUGGGCAAUGAAUCUUAAGUCAGAAUACCUUACCGUAAUUAUAUACAAUU